rnacentral:lncRNA from 1 species
GUUCUCAGGUGGUAUACGUGCAUCAUGCUGCGUUCUGCUUCCAUUUGUGUUCGCAUCAUCAAGUAAUAUGUAUCAUUUACAAAGGUAAUCUCUCACAAAACUUUUGAUGGAAUAACGGAAAACACCAGCCAGGCUUUAGAAGCGUCUAAAAUUUUCCUGCAGCGCUUCAGCCUUUCAACUCAUAUUUCAUUUCUAGAGGUCAGGU